rnacentral:lncRNA from 1 species
UUUUUUUUUUUUUGGUGUUGGGAUCCUGGAAGAAAGAAGGAAAACAGAAGGGUCGUGGCCACACAAUGAGAAAAGGUUAGUGCAGUAUGUGAAAUGGAUUACAAGACUAGUUAAAUAGAAUGGGAAAUGAGACGGAAGGGUGAGCUCUGAAUAACUGUUGUUUGCCAUAUUCUCUGGUAUAAAUUCAUCAAGUCCACGAAGAAUAUCAAGAGGAGCCUGACUGGUAGUGGGUCUCGGAUGAAAUAAAUCAACCGGAGUUAGGAGCGCAUCUUUUCAAGAAAGUUUGUCCGGCUGCAUAUAAUACUUGGUCAAGUAGCCUGGGGUUGAGUCUUGAGACUUGACGUACGUCACGCACUUAACAUCCAAUCCAACAAGAUAAACAGACAAAAACACAGACGUUUUGUAGAAAACUCCUGCUCUAAUCCUACUCAGUUUCACAAUGUUCCCGGGCGUUAUCAGUGUGAACAGAUGGCUACUUUUCCAUUUUUUGUGCGCAUGAUAUUUCAAGCAAAGAAUUCAAGUUCAUCGGCAUCAUUUCAUUCCAUGUACGCACGCCUUAACCUGUUUAGCCAACAAAUAAGUGGAAAAUCUUCUAUAUAUACACGGUCCUCAAUCCUCAUCCUUGCAUCCAUGUUUCAGAUUUCAUUCCAUAUACACCUUUAGCAGUUUAGUCAAUAACAAAGUGGAAAAUCUUCUAUAUAUACACGGUCCUCAAUCCAUGUUUCAUUGACGGACCUGCAGGUCUUAGUUCUGUAUUGCAACCCCAUGAAGAAUCUUAUGAUUUCUUUAGCUUAUUUCUUUCUUAUUGCCGGUGUAUGCUUUUUCCCUAACGUCGCAGCUCAAACGUUGUUGUUUCAGGUACAAAUGAUUUCUCUGCUAACACAGCUUGUUUCUUUCAUAUAUAUAUAUAUAUAUAUAUAUAUAUAUGCAUCCUUAGUCCUUACUACUAGUUUCUUUCAUUUGAAUUCAGGGGUUCAAUUGGGAAUCUAGCAACAAGCAAGGUGGAUGGUACAACUUCCUCCUGAACCAGAUUUCAGACUUAGCCAGUGCUGGGGUCACUCAUGUUUGGUUACCCCCACCUUCUCAUUCGGUGGCACCUCAAGGUUAGAUUAUACCUUCAAGUCCUUUCUUUUUUCCUUUUGCUUCCGUAUAUAUUAAUGCAGGAGAUGAUAUUUGGGAUAUUAAUUUUGUGGGAUGAGGAGCUCUAAAUAAAUUCUGUUUUCUUCCUCCAUUAAUUUUUGCAGGAUAUAUGCCAGGGAGGUUGUAUGAUCUUGAUGCAUCCAAGUAUGGGAACAAACAACAAUUGAAAACGUUGAUCAAGGCUUUCCAUGACAAAGGGAUAAAAUGUGUGGCUGAUAUAGUCAUAAACCACAGAUGUGCUGAUAAACAAGAUAGCAGAGGAAUUUACUGCAUCUUCGAGGGAGGGACUCCUGAUGACCGUCUUGAUUGGGGACCGUCCUGCAUUUGCAAAGAUGAUGUUCAGUAUUCUGAUGGAACUGGGAAUCCUGAUACUGGAGAUGGUUUUGGGGGUGCUCCUGACAUUGAUCAUCUCAAUUCAAGAGUACAGAGGGAGUUAUCGGACUGGAUGAACUGGCUCAAGUCUGAUAUUGGAUUCGAUGGUUGGCGUUUUGAUUUUGUCAAGGGGUAUGCCCGAGCAUCACCAAAAUUUAUAUGCAAAACACUAAACCUGGCUUUGCAGUCGGGGAACUGUGGGAUUCCCUUUCCUAUGGGCAGGAUGGAAAGCCGGAUUACAACCAGGAUGGUCACAGGAAUAGAUUAGCUCAGUGGGUCCAAAAUGGGGGUGGAGCUGUAACUGCAUUUGAUUUUACUACCAAAGGGAUUCUUCAGGUUGCGGUACAGGGGGAGCUGUGGAGAUUGAAAGAUUCCAAUGGAAAUCCCCCAGGACUGAUUGGACUUUUGCCUCAAAAUGCCGUCACCUUUAUUGAUAAUCAUGAUACUGGCUCUACUCAGAAGCUUUGGCCAUUCCCAUCAGACAAAGUGAUGCAAGGAUAUGCCUACAUUCUCACCCCAUCCUGGAAUUCCAUCUCUGGUAAGUACUAAAUACUAAUACAAGGAUGAAUACUAGUAGAAUUUAUGUCCUCUGUUUUCUCUAACAUAAGAAGUUGCUCUCUCUUUGGUAGUUCUACGACCACUUGUUCGAUUGGGGACUGAAGGAUGGGAUCACUAAAUUAUCUACCCUGAGGAAAAGGAAUGGGAUUACAGCAACCAGUAAAGUGCAGAUUUUGGCCUCAGAUUCUGAUCUUUAUUGUGGCAAAGAUGACUGACAAAAUCAUUGUCAAGAUUGGGCCAAAGCUUGAUCUUGGUAAUCUUAUUCCCCCAAAUUACCAGGUUUCAACUUCUGGGAACGACUAUGCUGUCUGGGAGAGAAAAGCAUGAAUUUGGUCACUAUUGGUAUGAUGUAUAAACCAAUAGUGUUUGAUAUGUACUACGACGUCUAAUCGAUACAAUCAAAUUCAUACUGGAAAAUAAUGAAGAAGGUCAUAAUUGCUAAUCUUCAAUCUUUCAAGAUCGGACAUCUAUCAUAAGCAGGAGGAAAUUCCAAUUCUUCUUUCAUUUGCAUUCAAUCAAAGCCCCCGUUUUGGCCUAGUCACUAGUACACCGGACGCUACAAGUAGUAGUCCCUUUACUGGUAAGUGAAAAGGCUAGCUACUUAUAGUUAUAGCCCCGGCUGAAUUUAAGAGGCCUGUUGAAAAAAAAGAGAAGCGCGCAAUGGCUGGUUAAAAGUCAAAACAAACCUUAUCUAUAAACCUUUCAUAAUAUCAUAGUUUAAUUUUGCUCUAAUAAUUUUUUCUCCUUAUCAUGUGAAAUGAGCGAUACGUUUUCCUCUAUUUAAAAGACCGGUAAUUAUGGGGAUAAAAUUUAUCGAGACAUAUAUUCAUGAAUAUAUAAUAAAUUUCAUUAUUAUGUUAGGGAUAUUGAUUUUUUAAACACUAUUCAUCUUGAAUAUACAAAAAGAAAAUGAAGUUGACCAAUGGUUUUAGAAACAAAUAAACAAAUUAAGAAAACAAGGUGAUAUUAGAGGAUUAUUAUAAUUAACCCGAGAGGUUUUUAACAUAUCUGUAACGCAACGUUAGAGUUAACCAAUGAUUUAGGGAGUAAAGUGAAAAAAAUAAUAAUAUUAGAGGAUAAGGUGCAAAACUGGUUAAAUCUUAGAGAAUUUUUAGAUGAUAGAAUAAAUAUACAAUCACUCCAUCCAUACUCUGCACUCUCAUGUUUAUAUAACUACUGUUACUAUAUCACUCCUGCGCUCAUACAUUUAAAUAACUGCUACUACUAUACUUAUUUACUAUUAUUGUAUUUAUCCCAAGUCUUCCUACCAACUUUAAUAAAAAAAAAAGAACUCAAAAAAAAUAAAAAAUAAAAAAUCUCAUAAUUAAUUCCUAUUGCCUACUAGCUAGGAUAAAACAAUUCCUUUGCCCACUAGCUAGGAUAAAACAAAAAUAAUAGUAGCGUGAAAAAGAGCUGAAAACGACAACGUUGCGAAUAAUAGCCUUUGCCGGUUUGCCCCUUUGGGUCAUCGUUUCAAAAUUUCAAACUCCGCCUCAGUAUAGUACUGCGGACUGCAGUAGAGUAAUACUACUCAGUGGUCAGCACUGGGUGGGUGACGCCGCAUACCUGUUUUGCAAUCCAAUCUCUUCUCGCCGUCUCUGUGAACCAACCAGCAAACGGGAUCGUUUCUCAAGCAUAAUGGGGGCCAAUCACAGCCGUGAAGACCUGGAUCUCUCAGACUCCGACUCCGACUCCGAAUCACAAACCCCAGAAGCCCACCGAGAGGAAGACGAAGACAACUUCGAAGACGCUAAAACGCCGUCGUCCUUCGAGCCCAAAACCCCAUCUUCUUUGGAUCAUGUUGAAGCCAAGCUCAAAGCUCUCAAGCUCAAGUACAACAACGACAACUCUAGCAAAGUGUCCGACCCGACCCGUAAGAACGCCGUCAAACUCUUCAUCCACGUCGGCGGCAACACGUCUAAUUCCAAAUGGGCUGUCGCUGAAAAAUCUGCCACUUAUUGCUUUGUCAAAACCCACAGUGAAAAUGGCUCGGACGAAGAAGAGGAUGAAGAAUGCGAAGAGAAUUCCUGGUGGAUUUUGAAAAUUGGGUCAAAAAUCCGGGUCAAGAUUGAUCAGAAUUUGCAAUUGAAGGCGAUUAAGGAUCAGAGGCGGGUUGACUUUGUGGCUAAUGGGGUUUGGGCUGUGAAGUUUUAUAGUGAAGAAGAUUAUAACUCAUUUUUUGACAAAUUUCAAGACUAUUUGUUCGAGAAUACUUAUGGGUACGAAGCUAAUGAUGAGAAUAAGGUUAAGGUUUAUGGGAAGGAUUUUAUCGGUUGGGCAAAGCCUGAAAAAGCUGAUGAUUCGAUGUGGGAUGACGCAGAAGAUAGUUUCUUUAAGACCCCUCAAUCAGCUUUGAAAACUCCAUUGAGGGAUAGAAAUGAUUUGACAGAGGAGUUUGAGGAGGCAGCUCCCAAUUGUGGGGCUAUUCAGAGUUUGGCAUUGGGUGCUUUGGAUAAUAGUUUCUUAGUGAGCGAUACGGGGGUUCAGGUCGUGAGGAAUUAUAGUCAUGGGAUUCAAGGAAAAGGGGUCUAUGUGAAUUUUGACAAUGGAAGGUCUAAUGGGAGCUUUUCAAAUGGUAUAGCUCAUUCAACCCCUAGGAAAGCUGUGCUAAUGAGAGCUGAAACUAAUAUGCUUCUCAUGAGUCCAAUGACUGAUGGUAAGCCUCAUACAAGAGGGUUACAUCAGUUGGAUAUUGAGACAGGAAAGAUUGUCACUGAGUGGAAGUUUGGGAAGGAUGGAACUGAUAUCACAAUGAGGGACAUUACUAAUGAUAGUAAAGGAGCUCAAAUGGAUCCCACUGGCUCUACUUUUUUGGGAUUGGACGAUAACAGAUUGUGUAGGUGGGAUAUGCGUGAUCGAAAUGGUAUGGUGCAGAAUCUUGCAAAUGAAAGUACACCUGUAUUGAACUGGGCUCAAGGGCAUCAGUUUUCGAGAGGGACUAAUUUUAACUGCUUUGCAAGUACUGGUGAUGGAUCAAUCGUGGUUGGAUCACUUGAUGGGAAGAUUAGACUGUACUCUAUCAAUUCUAUGAGGCAGGCGAAGACUGCAUUUCCAGGGCUUGGUUCUCCAAUUACUCAUGUGGACGUGACCUUUGACGGGAAGUGGAUAUUAGGGACAACUGAUACCUAUUUGAUUCUCAUAUGCACUCUAUUCACUGACAAGGAUGGGAAGACCAAGACCGGUUUCUCUGGUCGUAUGGGGAAUAGGAUCUCAGCUCCAAGAUUGUUAAAGCUCACUCCUUUGGAUUCACACAUGGCAGGAGUGAACAACAAAUUUCGCAAGGCUCAAUUCUCUUGGGUAUUCCUUUUGAUUUUCUCCAUAUUGUGCUGCCUGCUUAGAUGAUUACUUUUGAGUCUUGGUUCAGAAAGAGUUAUUGUUUGCCUAAUUUGCUCAUAUAUGAUAGUAUAAGAGUGAACUGCUUAGUCCGCUCAAAAGCCUGUUGUUGCUUAUGUUUUACAUGGUAACUGUAUACUCCUAUUAUUAGCUUUUCCUUGCUUGUAGUUAAUUAUGCGAUAUUAUUACUCACGGAAACUAUUAAUUUGAAAAGUCAAUCACUUUCUCAUAUUAUUGAACUUGAAAUUCCAACUGUCAUAAUAGAUUAACAUGUUGUAGUUGCCUUGAUUUUUCAAUAUAUGCAUGGAUAGGAUCUUGAAUCUUCCGUUUUUGAGUUCAUGAAAAUUUUAAGAAGGUGAUGUUCAAGCUCUUUUGGGUAUGUCCAUUCAAUAGAGGUAAAAAAACAGAGAGAUAUAUGUUGGCUAUUCCAUUAAUCAUGUCUUCACUCUGUCUUACUUAUGUUUGCCUGUAAACAUAGUAUAAAUGUUAUGUCAUAUUUUGUGUACUUGCGAUCCGCAAUCUAAAAUGCAGUUGGCAAUAACAAUAUGGAGGCCAAUCCGCUAAUCGUGUCUUUACACUGUCUUAUUUAUGUUUAGCUCUGAAAAGGUGGUAUAAAACCUAUUGCAUAUUUUGUAUAGUUGCAAUGUAUAAUCUAAAAUGUAGUUGACAAGAAAAACUGAAAGGCAGUGAAAACGUUUGUCACUUUUUAGCUUUCUGUGAAGUUUACAUGAACAUUGUCUUUUCCUGGCAAUGUUAUAAUGUUAUUGUAGAUCAGAAUACUUCUGCUGCAAUCCUACUUUUUUAUUGUCUAAAGUUUCAAUGGAUGGAAACUGAUUUCCAGUUUUAAUGGAUGUAUGUUCCCAUGUAUUCAUACACACCACAUACAAUUGUUGUGCACAUUCUAUUUGUGUGAGAGAGGAACUAGAACUUUUGCCUGUGAAAUUGUUGUGCACAUUCUAUUCUUUUGCCUGUGAAAUUUGAUUACUCUUGAUAUCUGCUAUGAUCAAUCAACGCAAACUUGGUAUUUUGUAGUUUUAUUCCCUCAGAGUUUUUUUAACUUUAUCCUCAUAGUCUUUCUAAUAGUUAAGUAUACUUGUACAAGACUUAAGCUCAAUCAAUUAUGAAACCAAAUCAAUGAAAUGCAUUUAUGCUUCAAAGAAAGGUUAUUCCAAGAGUAUCAUGUGGAUAAAAUGAAGAUAUUGUGUGGGUAGUUGCAGGUCUAUUUUUGACUUUGACAUUAUCGAUAAAUAUAUAUUAAAAAGUUUUUGAUUAAAACUUUAAGUACUUUUUGGAUUAAAACUUUAAGCACUCCAUUUUCAGGUUAACUACUAAUCACGUGGUCUCUGUGAACCAACCAGCAAACGGGAUCGUUUCUCAAGCAUAAUGGGGGCCAAUCACAGCCGUGAAGACCUGGAUCUCUCAGACUCCGACUCCGACUCCGAAUCACAAACCCCAGAAGCCCACCGAGAGGAAGACGAAGACAACUUCGAAGACGCUAAAACGCCGUCGUCCUUCGAGCCCAAAACCCCAUCUUCUUUGGAUCAUGUUGAAGCCAAGCUCAAAGCUCUCAAGCUCAAGUACAACAACGACAACUCUAGCAAAGUGUCCGACCCGACCCGUAAGAACGCCGUCAAACUCUUCAUCCACGUCGGCGGCAACACGUCUAAUUCCAAAUGGGCUGUCGCUGAAAAAUCUGCCACUUAUUGCUUUGUCAAAACCCACAGUGAAAAUGGCUCGGACGAAGAAGAGGAUGAAGAAUGCGAAGAGAAUUCCUGGUGGAUUUUGAAAAUUGGGUCAAAAAUCCGGGUCAAGAUUGAUCAGAAUUUGCAAUUGAAGGCGAUUAAGGAUCAGAGGCGGGUUGACUUUGUGGCUAAUGGGGUUUGGGCUGUGAAGUUUUAUAGUGAAGAAGAUUAUAACUCAUUUUUUGACAAAUUUCAAGACUAUUUGUUCGAGAAUACUUAUGGGUACGAAGCUAAUGAUGAGAAUAAGGUUAAGGUUUAUGGGAAGGAUUUUAUCGGUUGGGCAAAGCCUGAAAAAGCUGAUGAUUCGAUGUGGGAUGACGCAGAAGAUAGUUUCUUUAAGACCCCUCAAUCAGCUUUGAAAACUCCAUUGAGGGAUAGAAAUGAUUUGACAGAGGAGUUUGAGGAGGCAGCUCCCAAUUGUGGGGCUAUUCAGAGUUUGGCAUUGGGUGCUUUGGAUAAUAGUUUCUUAGUGAGCGAUACGGGGGUUCAGGUCGUGAGGAAUUAUAGUCAUGGGAUUCAAGGAAAAGGGGUCUAUGUGAAUUUUGACAAUGGAAGGUCUAAUGGGAGCUUUUCAAAUGGUAUAGCUCAUUCAACCCCUAGGAAAGCUGUGCUAAUGAGAGCUGAAACUAAUAUGCUUCUCAUGAGUCCAAUGACUGAUGGUAAGCCUCAUACAAGAGGGUUACAUCAGUUGGAUAUUGAGACAGGAAAGAUUGUCACUGAGUGGAAGUUUGGGAAGGAUGGAACUGAUAUCACAAUGAGGGACAUUACUAAUGAUAGUAAAGGAGCUCAAAUGGAUCCCACUGGCUCUACUUUUUUGGGAUUGGACGAUAACAGAUUGUGUAGGUGGGAUAUGCGUGAUCGAAAUGGUAUGGUGCAGAAUCUUGCAAAUGAAAGUACACCUGUAUUGAACUGGGCUCAAGGGCAUCAGUUUUCGAGAGGGACUAAUUUUAACUGCUUUGCAAGUACUGGUGAUGGAUCAAUCGUGGUUGGAUCACUUGAUGGGAAGAUUAGACUGUACUCUAUCAAUUCUAUGAGGCAGGCGAAGACUGCAUUUCCAGGGCUUGGUUCUCCGAUUACUCAUGUGGACGUGACCUUUGACGGGAAGUGGAUAUUAGGGACAACUGACACCUAUUUGAUUCUCAUAUGCAGUCUAUUCACUGACAAGGAUGGGAAGACCAAGACCGGUUUCUCUGGUCGUAUGGGGAAUAGGAUCUCAGCUCCAAGAUUGUUAAAGCUCACUCCUUUGGAUUCACACAUGGCAGGAGUGAACAACAAAUUUCGCAAUGCUCAAUUCUCUUGGGUAUUCCUUUUGAUUUUCUCCAUAUUGUGCUGCCUGCUUAGAUGAUUACUUUUGUGUCUUGGUUCAGAAAGAGUUAUUGUUUGCCUAAUUUGCUCAUAUAUGAUAGUAUAAGAGUGAACUGCUUGGUCCGCUCAAAGAGCCUGUUGUUGCUUAUGUUUUACAUGGUAACUGUAUACUCCUAUUAUUAGCUUUUCCUUGCUUGUAGUUAGUUAUGCGAUAUUAUUACUCACGGAAACUAUUAAUUUGAAAAGUCAAUCACUUUCUCAUAUUGUUGAACUUGAAAUUCCAACUGUCAUAAUAGAUUAACAUGUUGUAGUUGCCUUGAUUUUUCAAUAUAUGCAUGGAUAGGAUCUUGAAUCUUCCGUUUUUGAGUUCAUGAAAAGGUGAUGUUCAAGCUCAUUUUGGGUAUGUCCAUUCAAUAGAGGUAAAAAAACAGAGAGAUAUAUGUUGGCUAUUCCAUUAAUCAUGUCUUCACUCUGUCUUACUUAUGUUUGCCUGUAAACAUAGUAUAAAUGUUAUGUCAUAUUUUGUGUACUUGCGAUCCGCAAUCUAAAAUGCAGUUGGCAAUAAGAAUAUGGAGGCCAUUCUGCUAAUCGUGUCUUUACACUGUCUUAUUUAUGUUUAGCUGUGGUAUAAAACCUAUUGCAUAUUUUGUGUAGUUGCAAUGUAUAAUCUAAAAUGUAGUUGACAAGAAAAACUGAAAGGCAGUGAAAACGUUUGUCUCUUUUUAGCUUUCUGUGAAGUUUACAUGAACGUUGUCUUUUCCUGGCAAUGUUAUAAUGUUAUUGUAGAUCAGAAUACUUCUGCAAUCCUACUCUUUUUUAUUGUCUAAAGUUUCAAUGGAUGGAAACUGAUUUCCAGUUUUAAUAGAUGUAUGUUCCCAUGUAUUCAUACACACCACAUACAAUUGUUGUGCACAUUCUAUUUGUGUGAGAGAGGAACUAGAACUUUUGCCUGUCAAAUUUGAUUACUCUUGAUAUCUGCUAUGAUCAAUCAACGCAAACUUGGUAUUUUGUAGUUUUAUUUCCCUCAGAGUUUUUUUAACUUUAUCCCUCAUAUUGUCUUUCUAAUAGUUAAGUAUACUUGUACAAGACUUAAGCUCAAUCAAUUAUGAAACCAAAUCAAUGAACUGCAUUUAUGCUUCAAAGAAAGGUUAUUCCAUGAGUAUCAUGUGGAUAAAAUGAAGAUAUUGUGUGGGUAGUUGCAGGUCUAUUUUUGACUUUGACAUUGUCGAUAAAUAUAUAUUAAAAAGAGUUUUUGAUUAAAACUUUAAGUACUUUUUGGAUUAAAACUUUAAGCACUCCAUUUUCAGGUUAACUACUAAUCACAUGUCAAUUCUCCAUUUUUGUGUUCAGAGUUUUAAUCGUUUCUAACUAGGCAAGACAGUAAAUCGUGUUCACAAGGAGAUUUCAUUCUUCUAUUAUUCAUUCUACUAUUUGAACCCCAUUUCCAUUGCGAUUAAGUCCUUUUUCACAUGCAUUUCUCAGGUGACAGAGAACGGGAAGCAGGAGCGCCAUUUGGUUGCUACUGUUGGCAAGUUUAGUGUUAUAUGGAACUUCCAACAGGUUAAGGAUGGUUCUCAUGAAUGUUACCAAAAUCAAGUUGGCUUGAAGAGCUGCUACUGCUACAAGAUAGUUUUAAAGAAUGAUUCGAUUGUGGAUAGUCGCUUCAUGCAUGAGAAGUUUGCUGUUAGCGACUCCCCUGAAGCUCCGUUGGUGGUUGCAACCCCCUUGAAAGUCAGUUCAUUCAGCAUAUCCAGCCGGCGCUUGAACCUCUAAACAAAGCUCUUGUUUGGAUGUGUCCACAUUUAUUCAAUGUCUGUGUGUUCUCCUGAACGUCUCAGUAUCCUCUGCGUUGUUCUCACUAAGCACGCAACGCUGUUGCAGAAUUUCACCUUUCAUUUGUACUUUUCCUAAGUUUUAGUAAGAUCAUGUUGAAAGCGGUCUUCGAUGAAGGCAACCUUAUUGUUGUUGUAGAACUGGCAAAAGUAUUAGAUAGGAGUAUUUGAAAUUUAUGACCAUGUACUCUCUGAAUUUAAUUUGUAAGGAUAUAUUAUAAUUUCCGUUCUUAUUUUCACUUCUCCUGCAACCAAACUUCAGAUUCCUCUAUGAGGUGAAGAUAUUGCUAUUAUUUUCAAGCUUGAGUUCUAGGUAAUUCCACUUCCUGCCUCCACAUUAUAAAGAUUGAUAAUAUUUUUUUAUUUCUAUACCAUGGUUUUUGCUGAUGCAUCCUGUUUCAUAAUUGACAUGGCAGUCUUAUUUUGUAAAACGUUAAAAGUUCGGAAUUCUGGUCUGAAAAUGAGCUUGGCAUAUACAAAUGUAUGGCUUCUAUCUGAAUUCUUGGAUGCGUGGUUUGAUAAUUCCAUUGUACACCAAGCCAAUGGUUUCAGUGAAAAAGGAUAAGUGGGGCCGUGCUAUCUUCUCUUUGUCAAGCAGUGAACUAUAUGCCCUAAAACUUUGGCCCCUUCCUGUUGUUAUCUGGGCCACAAAAUAGAAAGACAAAGAUGGAUAUUGCUUUGAGUAGAGGCUCCCAAAUUCUGGCAUUCAAUGCAUCUUCUUCCGUUUCUGCAAAGAGUUCACGAAGAAGUUCAUUAGCUAUUACUGAUACAAGCUGGCCUGCAAAAGGAGUAGGACCUUCUCUCAGUCACCUCCAAACUGUAGUAGUUCGAGCUGAGAAACGCCCCACGUGGCUCCCGGGGCUUGAACCUCCACCUUAUCUUGAUGGAACGUGAGCCCAUUUCUUGUUCUAUCUAUCCAAUAUUGGUAUAGAAUCCCUAGUCUGCAUGUGGUGUGUCUUUGUCCAUUUCCUGUAGUACAUAAUGCUGUUUUGCAGACUUGCUGGAGAUUUUGGGUUUGAUCCACUGGGGCUUGGGGAGGACCCCGAAAGCUUGAAGUGGUAUGUACAGGCAGAACUGGUUCAUUCUCGCUUUGCUAUGGCUGGAGUUGCCGGAAUUCUUGUAACUGAUGUACGUUAGUGAUACUGGACUGCAAACUCCGAAUCUCCACUCUUUGUUCUUUGUAUCUGGCACUUCAUUGCUUCACAAUUGCUUUGCUUUAUUAGCUUAGAUAUUCGAAUCUGUUUUUUAGUGUUAUUAAGUUUGAUCUACACUUGAUAGCAUUCACAAAUGUAUAAUACAAUCUUCCCAAUGAUGUUUUGAUCUGUUAGCGUUGGUGCUAGCUUUUGAAACUCUUGCUCGUCCUCCAUUUUCCUGCUGCAGUUGCUUCGUGUAACAGGAAUAAGAAACUUGCCAGUUUGGUAUGAAGCUGGUGCGACAAAAUUUGAUUUUGCUAGUACCAGAUCACUGUUGAUCGUUCAGCUAAUACUAAUGGGGUAUUUUGACUUAAUCCACAAUGCCAGUGACUCAAUUGCAAGGCUGCAAUUGGAAUUGAAAUCUUUAUGAAAGAAACUACUUAUUUUCUCCUACCUUCAUGUUUUUCUCAGGUUCGUUGAAACAAAGAGAUAUAUGGAUUUCAAAAACCCUGGAUCUCAAGCCAAGGAGGGAACUUUCUUUGGGUUAGAAACUGCACUUGAAGGCCUUGAACCAGGGUAAAACUCUUCCAGACUAUUGCAUUUUCACUUGUUACUUCAAAAUUCUUCCGUCAUGGCUAGAAUCUAUUGUGCUUGAGAACCACUUAGAAUUUGACGUUGUAGUCCUUGAGAUUUUAAGUGGUCAUCGUUUUCUGCUGUUUGAGCAGGUACCCAGGUGGCCCUUUGUUGAAUCCUCUUGGCAUUGCUAAGGACAUAAAGAAUGCUCAUGACUGGAAGCUCAAAGAGAUAAAAAAUGGUUAACUUAUUUAGCAUAAUAUAAAAUUCCACGAUUCCUCUUCCUUCCUAGAUACUAAUUUUUUUUCUUUAGUGUCAGUAGGAGAGUUCGAAUAUGAGAUCUAUCACUUACAUGCCAUGCUCACAAACCGCCCAACCCAACCCAAGCCUCCCCCAAGAUACUUUUCCUGUUUACCAUGAUGCAAUCCACGUAAAAAAUGAGUGUCUUUUCUGCAGGAAGGCUAGCUAUGGUGGCAAUGCUAGGAUUUUUUGUUCAAGCUUCCGUGACUCAUGCUGGCCCUAUCGAUAAUCUCGUGGAACAUCUUUCAGAUCCAUGGCAUAAAACCAUUAUUCAAACACUUGCUGGUUCUGGUUCUUGAUUUCAGUCAAAUGUAAAGCCCACUGCGUGUCUGUGUAGUCCCCCCCCCCACCCCCCCUUUUUUUUGUUUAAUCUUUUCGGUUUGGAAUUGAAAUGUGGGCUAUCAUUUAGCGCCACAUAAUGAAGCUGAUUUUCUUUUGAUUUGAGCAGUGAACGUGUAUAAGUUUGAACUCUUAAAAACAAAAAUGCAAGACACAAAUAUCAAAAGAAAAUGUAUGUGCUGCAGCAGAUUGACUGAAGGCAAGGUCAUUGGACCUGCCAGCGAAAUUUCUUUUUAGCAGUCAUCAGGUGAUGAGGUGUUCCAUGCAAUCUAGAUCAAAAGCCUUGAGAUCAAUCGAUUCCUAGACAAAAGUUUGAAGACAAAAUGAGAAGAUCUUAACUGAAUGCUUUAAAAUAGUAAAAGCAGCGCCUAAUGCUUCCAAUGUAUAGGUUACUCACCAAACGAGAAACUGAACACUUCAAAAAUCCUUUGGAAUAACAUCAGAUGCCACAAUAAUUCGUACAAUUGCAAAUUGACCUGAUUUUGUACAUUUUCUUGGUAUGCUUAUUCAUAUAAAGCAUUUCAAUGGAUUCAAUAAUAAUAAAUUCUGGAGAGACAAAAACAAGAAGUUGAUACAUUAAUAAACAACAAUGUUCCAGGAUGUCAAAACUGUAACCUGCAAAAACUGCGAGAAUCAACACUCACAAGCAGCAGUCAAAUAUAUUACAGAACCGCCUUAUUGUUUCUAUAACCAAACCAAUAAAAGAAAAACCUGGUUUUUGUAAUCCUCUAAUCAGCCCCAAUAGCAAGUGAAAUUUUAAUCCCAUCAACUUAUUGCACAUAAAAAACUCAACAUGUACAAUGUACAUAUACUGUUAGAAAUUACUUUCCCAAGAGAAACCAAUAGAAAUAGCCAACUAAAUAGCAACAUAGCAAUAAUGAGAAACGUGAUUUAGAUACCUAAAUAAGGUACUUAUGCUGACUUAGUUUGUGUCUUCUUUCUUGCCAAAAACAUGAAGAUGCGUGGGAAGAAUGAUCUCUUC